AGUUAUCACUCCUCCACCUGCUUUUCCAUCUUCCAGUGUGUGACAUCCUUUGUCUCCUAUUCCUCUUUUCUUUGUGGGUUUAUACCUGUACCCCUUUGACUCUCAUGUCAGCUGGGUUUGAGAAAGAAGCUGAGCAAAGUGCACGUCUCCAUACCAGCAUGUUUACUCAGCCUCCUUCCUUAUGUCUUCUCAGCACUUUACUGUGUACCCAUGUGAGAGUACUUACUGCCUUGUACUUAGCGGUUUUUUUGGCUCUUUCUGUGGUAGACUAGGAGGACAGGAAUCAAAUCGAAUCACCCCUAGUGUCUCACACAGCACCUCGUAUACAAUAGGCAGUUCCUAAAUUGUGCUGAAUAACUGGAUGAGCAAGUUGGCCUCAGUCUCCCAUCUCCCAUCUCUAAGAGGAGGGCUUUGGAGCCCUGGUGUCCAGCUGUCUGAACUUCUUCUGGGAAGUUGGGUGGUCCCUGGAGCCACAGCAGGUGUGCCAUUCCCAGGAAAGUUUGGCAUUUCUGGAGCACCGCCAUGCAUGUCUUCCCACCUUUCUUUUAGGGAGCAGUGUGUGCCCAGCCCUGCCCACCAGGGACAUUUGGCCAGAACUGCAGCCAGGAUUGUCCUUGCCACCAUGGAGGGCAGUGUGACCACGUGACUGGACAGUGCCACUGUACAGCUGGAUACAUGGGGGACAGGUGCCAAGAGGAGUGCCCCUUCGGGUCCUUCGGCUUCCAGUGCUCACAGCACUGUGACUGCCACAAUGGGGGGC
rnacentral:lncRNA from 10 species